AGAGCGAACGCUGGCGGCAUGCUUAACACAUGCAAGUCUCACGGGCAGCAAUGUCAGUGGCGGACGGGUGAGUAACGCGUAGGUAUCUAUCCAUGGGUGGGGGAUAACGUCGGGAAACUGACGCUAAUACCGCAUGACAUCUGAGGAUCAAAGGCGCGAGUCGCCUGUGGAGGAGCCUGCGUACGAUUAGCUAGUUGGUGGGGUAAAGGCCUACCAAGGCGACGAUCGUUAGCUGGUCUGAGAGGAUGAUCAGCCACACUGGGACUGAGACACGGCCCAGACUCCUACGGAGGCAGCAGUGGGGAAUAUUGGACAAUGGGCGAAAGCCUGAUCCAGCAAUGCCGCGUGUGUGAAGAAGGUCUUCGGAUUGUAAAGCACUUUCGGCGGGGACGAUGAUGACGGUACCCGCAGAAGAAGCCCGGCUAACUUCGCGCCAGCAGCCGCGGUAA
rnacentral:rRNA from 1 species